AUGGCAAGAUGGUCCAGAAGCUCUCCAUAUCACAUCCUCUUGGGUGGCAAGGAGACAAUAUUUCUUACUGAUAAUUCCUGCUCAAAUCUGGGAAUCCUUUCUGAUAGAAACAACUCUGCAGGAUUCAGUGCUCUGAUUAACCAGGCCUGGUUGGGAAGUACAGCUGGGCAGAGACUGAUGUACAAGGAGCCUUCCGUACUCCCAUCAGAAAUCAAGGUCAAACAAGUGUUUAUGGCGAUUUCACCUUUCAACUACUGUUCAGCAGUAAUUCAAUCAGGUAUGAGUGAGAUCAGUUUGUCUUCACCAAAUCACUUUUCGGUGCCAAGGUACCCACUGAGACAGCAGAAUUAA
rnacentral:lncRNA from 1 species